GGAGAAGCUGGGAGCUUCCCUGGGGAGCGUGAGGUGCUGGGGUGGUCCAGGGAGCAUUGUUAGGCUCUGUCACAGGCACUCUGAGGAACAGUUGCAGGAAUAUCACAAAAUAAAAGUCAAGGGGACAUUUCAAGUUACUCCUAAAGUAUCUUGGCAACAUAAAUUCACCUUCUGAUGUUGGCUAGGGGAGAACACAGCAGGAGCUUCGUGAGAGCCUGGGGAUUCUGCCUUUCAGAGCAAUUUGUGUGACUGAGGCUGAGAUGGAGAAACAGCUUUGUGUGUUGGAGGACAAGAGGUCAGCACCAUCCAUGCCAGAGAAGGUUUUGGGAGUGACUGAGAUAUGUGUUGCUGAAAAACCUGUCUUCAGGAAGAGAAGCAUGGAAUCCGGGUCACUUGGAUUGACUCCAUGGGAAAAUGCCCCUAAAAAUUAAUUUAUGAUGAAUGAGAUUGAUGCUGAAAAGGCUGACUUAAUUUGUUUCAUUACGUUUGGAAAAUGAAUCUGAAGGCUUGACAGCAGCAGACUGAGGUCCUGAACAAAAUCCUGAAUCAAUUUUGCACCCAGGGGAGAGUACAAAUCAUCAGCGUGAUGUGGUUCGUGGUGUUUAUUUCUCAGAAACUUCAGUAGUGCAAAGAAAUGGUUCUAAAACAGAGACUGCUGGAGGGAGAAUGGGAGAAAUAAUGUGUUUUCUGUACCUGCUUAGCAACAGUUCUGUGCUGCAGGAGUGUUGGUUUCAGGUUUGCCGUGGAGGAUAGAGGGGACUUUCAGGGCAUGAUGACCCAGAACAAAGAGGCUGUCUGUUUGCUGCUGGAGAAAACUUGUCCUGACAGAGAUGGUACGUAUCUCAGGAACCUGGUGCUUCCCAAAGGUCUGGACAGAGCUUGUCUGAAGUUACCAUUUACUGAGCAUGUGAUGAAAUCAGCAACGUUCAGAUGAGGCACACUAGGAACCCGUGAUUUUGCUGUUCCCUGAGUACAAGACUCACCUGUGGAGCAGGGUAUGAAGGAGGUUUGUUGUGCAAUUUUUGAUCUACUCUUCUGACACUGCUUCUGAUAAAGCCAGAUCUAAGUUCAUACCAGGGGCUACUCCAAAGAUGAGCUGUAUUUGGUCCACUGAAUUUGUGACUUACAGGCUAAAAGAAGGCAUACAUGUUACAGAAGUGCUGCCUGUGACUGGCUGAAGAGUAAAAAUAGUUUCUUC